rnacentral:rRNA from 1 species
GAGCGCGCCCUUCGGGGUGAGCGGCGGACGGGUGAGUAACGCGUGGGAACGUGCCCUCUUCUGCGGGAUAGCCUCUGGAAACGGAGAGUAAUACCGCAUACGCCCUUUUGGGGAAAGAUUUAUCGGAGGAGGAUCGGCCCGCGUUGGAUUAGGUAGUUGGUGGGGUAAUGGCCUACCAAGCCGACGAUCCAUAGCUGGUUUUAGAGGAUGAUCAGCCACACUGGGACUGAGACACGGCCCAGACUCCUACGGGAGGCAGCAGUGGGGAAUCUUAGACAAUGGGCGCAAGCCUGAUCUAGCCAUGCCGCGUGAGUGACGAAGGCCCUAGGGUCGUAAAGCUCUUUCGCCUGUGAAGAUAAUGACGGUAGCAGGUAAAGAAACCCCGGCUAACUCCGUGCCAGCAGCCGCGGUAAUACGGAGGGGGUUAGCGUUGUUCGGAAUUACUGGGCGUAAAGCGCGCGUAGGCGGACCAUCAAGUUGGGGGUGAAAUCCCGGGGCUCAACCCCGGAACUGCCUCCAAAACUGGUGGUCUGGAGUUCGAGAGAGGUGAGUGGAAUUCCGAGUGUAGAGGUGAAAUUCGUAGAUAUUCGGAGGAACACCAGUGGCGAAGGCGGCUCACUGGCUCG